UGGGGAAUAUUGCACAAUGGGCGCAAGCCUGAUGCAGCCAUGCCGCGUGUGUGAAGAAGGCCUUCGGGUUGUAAAGCACUUUCAGCGAGGAGGAAGGUGGUGAGCUUAAUACGCUCAUCAAUUGACGUUACUCGCAGAAGAAGCACCGGCUAACUCCGUGCCAGCAGCCGCGGUAAUACGGAGGGUGCAAGCGUUAAUCGGAAUUACUGGGCGUAAAGCGCACGCAGGCGGUUUGUUAAGUCAGAUGUGAAAUCCCCGGGCUCAACCUGGGAACUGCAUUUGAAACUGGCAAGCUAGAGUCUCGUAGAGGGGGGUAGAAUUCCAGGUGUAGCGGUGAAAUGCGUAGAGAUCUGGAGGAAUACCGGUGGCGAAGGCGGCCCCCUGGACGAAGACUGACGCUCAGGUGCGAAAGCGUGGGGCAGCAAACAGGAUUAGAUACCCUGGUAGUCCAGCGCUGUAAAACGAUGUCGAUUUUGGAGGUUGUGCCCUUGAGGCGUGGCUUCCGGAGCUAACGCGUUAAAGUCGACCGCCUGGGGAGUACGGCGCAAGGUUAAAACUCAAAUGAAUUGAC
rnacentral:rRNA from 1 species